AUUGAACGCUGGCGGCAGGCCUAACACAUGCAAGUCGAACGAGUGGCGGACGUGUUAGUAAUGUCUGGGAAACUGCCUGAUGGAGGGGGAUAAUUCCCGGAAACUGUAGCUAAUACCGUACUCCAUCAGAUGUGCCCAGGUGGGAUUUGCUUGUUGGUGGGGUAACGGAUCACCACGGCGACGAUCCCUCGCUGGUCUGAGAGGAUGACCAGCCACACGGGAACUGAGACACGGUCCAGAGACUUACGGGAGGCAGCAGUGGGGAAUAUUGCACAAGGGGCGCAGGCCUGAUGCAGCCAUGCCGGGUGUGUGAAGAGGGCCUUCGGGUUGUAAAGUACUUUCAGCGGGGAGGCGUUACCCGCAGAAGAAGCACCGGCUAACUCCGUGCCAGCAGCCGCGGUAAUUC
rnacentral:rRNA from 1 species